CCAAAGGCCCUCUUUAGGGCCACCUAUUUUUCUGUUAUAUUUAAAAU
rfam:Strongyloides ratti strain ED321 Heterogonic genome assembly, chromosome: 1